rnacentral:lncRNA from 1 species
CUGAAACCCUGAGUCAGAACCUAGAGAAACCUAGGAUAAAAGGAAGUCACAGGCAUAGAACAAUUGGAAGUCUCACUGAGGAAAGAAUGCUCUGCCUCAGACCCGGACAGUCGGCACUCCCCCGCACCAUACAAACUACUGGGACUUCCCUGGCUGAUUGCGGUGUGGAUGUUUUUCAGAUUUAAAAUGUCCAUGCAGCUCAGAAGAGCACUUUGUAAUAUUAGAAACAGAAACCCCAUUCUAUCAAGCCAGCUGCUUCAGGAUGGUGGGGAACAUGAUAUGACCAGUGAAUUCCAUGAGCAAGGACCCAUUGCUGCACUUCUUUUGCUGUGAAGUGAAAUCCAUGAUCAGAAGCAAUGUUGUGUUGAAUACCAGAACGGUGGAAAAGGCAUUCUUCAUAUUUUAUGAAAAUCACUACUGGUUGGUCAUUUUAUUCCAAAACAAACACCUCAAGACAAUGGCAUCAUAUAGGAAAGCAUCUGCGAAGAGGUUGGAAGAGUGGCCGAGCACCAGCCGUCACAGCUACUAAGCCCAACAUCUGAC